rnacentral:SRP_RNA from 1 species
ACUAGCUACUACAAUGAUAUCUUAUGAAACUGGUCAGGGUGGGAACACAGCAGCCAUAAGUAAGCUCUAUCAUGUGUGGUAGCUUUUAUU